GAUGAAGAACGCAGCGAAAUGCGAUACGUAAUGUGAAUUGCAGAAUUCAGUGAAUCAUCGAAUCUUUGAACGCAUAUUGCGCUCUCUGGUAUUCCGGAGAGCAUGCUUGUUUGAGUAUCAGUAAACACCUCAACUCCCUUUUCUUUUUUGAAAUUGGAGCUGGACUUGAGUGAUCCCAACGCUUUCUUCCAAGAAAGUGGCGGGUUGCUUGAAAUGCAGGUGCAGCUGAACUUUUCUCUGAGCUAUAAGCAUAUCUAUUUAGUCUGCCUAAAAAACAGAUUAUUACCUUUGCUGCAGCUAACAUAAAGGAGACUAGUUCUUGUGCUGACUGAUGCAGGAUUCACAGAGACAGCUUCGGCUGACUUUGUAAACUCGAUCUCAAAUCAAGUAAGACUACCCGCUGAGUUUAAGCAUAUCAAUAAGCGGAGGA
rnacentral:misc_RNA from 1 species